AGGGCCACAGCUCCGGGGGUAGAGCACCUGCUUUGCAUGCAGAAGUUCUCUGGUUCAAUCCCCAAUGGCCUCA